UUUACUACCAGGUAACUCUAUUCUUUCUUUCUCUAUAUUUAAGAAAGAAGCAUUAGAAAGAAAAUCAGAAAACGGGAAAACUUUGCCCUUUCUUCGUAUUUCUCUUUCUAAAUCACCAUCUUUGGUUCUCUCUCUCACUCGCUCCUCUUUUCCUUCAAAGGAGCCGAGUGAAGGCGGAGGAGGAAGCAAAGAGCAGAGACGAUAAGAGGUAUGCUAGUGAGCUUUGAUUCUAUGUUCUCCAUCUUUCACGAGGUAUGCUAGUGAGCUCUGACUUUAUGUUCUUCAUCUUUCUCACUCUUUCUCCUGGAUCUCUUCCUUGAUUCUUUUAUGCACUGGUUCCUUUUCUCUUUCUAAUUUUCUCUAAAAUACCCAAUUCUCUCUCUUCCCAUGCUUUACAUUCAUAGGGUUUCCAUAGGAGAGAGGGGUUCAAGGGGGUUUUCUUUCAAUUUUGAACCGGUUAUUUGUGAUACCUCUUUUAUUUUUUUGUUUUGAUUGGUGGAUUGAAUCUUUAUACGUCUAUUUCUCUCUUAUGUCAACCGCCCUUUCUAGUUUUGCGAAAGACUUCAAACAUAUGAUAGAUUUUUUUAUCUUUUCCAAGCGAUUGUUAUGUAUUUAUGCUAGAGGUUUAGGAUUUGGUGAUGUAUGUGGAUUAAAAAUAACACCUUUUGUAAUGCAGGAUGAAAUUUUUUUAAAAUUCUCUUGAGAAGAAAUGCAAUGUCCUUUGGGAAUAUAGGUUGAUGUAGUUGUUGCAUGUGCAAUAUUGCACAACUAUAUCAUGAUGACAUGAGGGGCUGAAGAGAGUUGUACUUUCGAAGGAGGGUUGAGAGACAACUGGUAGUUGAUGGAGACAAUUUCUCGUAACUGACUCAGGGGCAAGCUGAUCAUAAUGAUGGUGUCAGUUUAUAAAAUGCCAUGGCGACACAGUUGUGGGAGGCCUACCCAUAUCGCUAGAAGUUUUCUGGCAUAUUCCUUAUGUUGAAAUUGGUUUACUUGUAUUAAGUAGUUGAACAAUUCAAAUGUUGUAAUAAGUUCUAUGACAUUGGUGAGCAUUAUAUGUGUUACCAUAUUGUUGUUCUGAGUAAGAAUUUGGAUUAUCUGAGAAGGUCUAUUUGGUGUGUU
rnacentral:lncRNA from 1 species